CCUACGGGUGGCAGCAGUCGAGAAUUUUUCACAAUGGGGGAAACCCUGAUGGAGCGACGCCGCGUGGGGGAUGAAGGGCUUCGGCUCGUAAACCCCUGUCAGUUGCGAACAAAGUGUACCGGUGAACAUCCGGUGCGCUGAUAGUAGUGACAGAGGAAGGGACGGCUAACUCUGUGCCAGCAGCCGCGGUAAUACAGAGGUCCCGAGCGUUGUUCGGAUUCACUGGGCGUAAAGGGUGCGUAGGCGGCUGGGUAAGUCUGAUGUGAAAUCUCCGGGCCCAACCCGGAAAUGGCAUUAGAAACUACCUGGCUGGAGGCUUGGAGGGGGAACUGGAAUGCUUGGUGUAGCAGUGAAAUGCGUAGAUAUCAAGCGGAACACCGGUGGCGAAGGCGAGUUCCUGGACAAGACCUGACGCUGAGGCACGAAAGCCGGGGGAGCAA
rnacentral:rRNA from 1 species